rnacentral:misc_RNA from 1 species
UGGUCCUCUACACAAACCCAUGAGGUGCUACAUGCUUCACACUUAUGAAUCAUGGGGGUCGUUUUAUCCAAGUCAUAUACAGUCUCUGUCAUAGACUGGACUCCUUAGAUACUUCUGGAAUCCUGCUGACAUCAUUGGCAGAUUGUAUCUCCUCAAUCAGUGAUAGAUAUUUGAACCAAUGUCUGUUUUGUUCAGACAUCCAGAUAUUCCAUAUAUUAUGAGUCAAUUAUAUAAAAUGAAUAGUUUGCAUUAAUUUAUUGAGAUGUGUUAUGAUAGUGCAAUGUUAAAAAUUUUUAAAUUGAUUUCUCACAAUUUAUUAUGCCUGUUUUUAAUGCAUGUGAUUUAUAUAUGCAGACUUUGUAUUUUUAAUAAGAUAUAUGACUUUUAACUUUUAUGUUUACAUUGACUUGACAUCCAUAGCAAUAACACUGUUGUCUUGCUGUGGUUGAUUACAAACGGAAGUGUGUAUUGUCAAAACAAAAACAAACAAAAAAGAUAUGGAAUGAAAUUGAUGUGUUGAUUGUAUUUAAUAAGAUAUUGUUAAUCAUAGUGUGCUCAAGUAAAAAAGGGUCCUCUAAACGAACAAUGUCCUUGGACUGUUCCAACUAUGGACGCUAUUUAUUACAAUGUAACUGCUGUUAUAUACUUAAAAGCUUGCUGGUAGUUCAGUAGUCAUAUUAUCUAAGUCUACUAUUUCAUGAUCAUUGUCAACUUGUUACUGACAGAUUUGUAACACCCCCCCCCCCCCCUUAGAAAUAUAUGUAGCUCCUGUAAUCUCCACAUGUAGUGAACUAUUGUAUACAGGUAAUUAAAAAAAUAAAGGGUCAUGACCUCUCACUCACGUAACUGGGCUUGUCUCACAAGGUCAUGGUUUUUGAUAUAGUCUUUGUUUUUAGUCCGAUUUUUGUUGCCAAAUCUAGAGGUGAACAAAUGAGCGUGUUGAUGACCAAAGUGUACGGAAAAAAAAAUACCAAAAAUAGUGCGGCCAUGAUAUCAUCAUUCACUGUGUGUUUAGUAUUGUUUUGUAAAUAAACCUCUUACUAGUAGAGUGUAGUUGCUGUAAUGUGUAAAUAGGAAUUAUCUAGUUAUUGCACAUAUAUGUACAUGAGAAAUUCUUAGAUUAAUAUAUAUUUAUAUAUGCUGUUGGUGUGUGAUGUACUACUGUGCGAGUGUGUGCGAGAGUUUUGAAUAUAUGCAAAUGCAGAUUGUUCCCUAGACUUUUCUCUGAAGCUCAGGUUAACUUAAAGAUGAGCAAAUAUGUUACCAUAUAUACCACUGUUUGUUACUAUCAUCAUGUUGAUCAUGUAUAAUGAUUAUUGACUGUGUUGAAAUGAUGAAAUUAAAGGCAAAGAAAACGC